UCUCAAAGAUUAAGCCAUGCAUGUCUAAGUAUAAUCUGGUUCUAGAUCGAAACUGCGAAUGGCUCAUUAAAUCAGUUCUAGUUUCUUUGAUGGUAUCUCAACUACAUGGAUAACCGUAGUAACAUAGAGCUAAUACAUGCUUGAAUUCCUGACUGGUUGCUUCGAGCAUCGAGAAUAGGAUGUAUUAUAGAUCCAAACCAAUGCGCUGCUUGUGUUGCUUCACUGUGGCAUGAGUGCGUAGAUUGGUGAUUCAUGCUAACUUUUCGGAUCGCAUCAUUGGCCUUGUGCUGGCGACGCUUCAUACAAGUUUCUGCCCUAUCAACUGUCGAUGGUAGGGUAUGGCCUACCAUGGUUGUAACGGGUUAACGGGUGGCAGCAGGCGCGCAAAUUACCCAAUCCCGACCUGGGGAGGUAGUGACAAUAAAUAACAAUGCGGUCCAAAUUUGGUUCUGCAAUUGGAAUGAGAACAAUGUAAAUACCUUAACGAGAGCAUGGAGGGCAGUCUGGUGCAGCAGCGCGUAUCAGCUCAUCAUCAUAGCGUAUAUAGUGUUGCAGUUAAAAAGCUCGUAGUUGGAUUUCGGAACGGUCGGGUUGGUCCGCCCUUCUGUGGUGUGUACUAGCUUUGGUAUGUAGGUUGGUCCUUGUGUGGCUGAUCUGCUGCCCGUGUUGCACGUGUGUGUAGCAUGUGAUCGUUCUUCUCCCUCGGAGACGAGUCUGUCCUUUAUUGGAUGGGCUUUGGAUGCGAGGUGUUUACUUUGAAAAAAUUAGAGUGUUCAAAGCAGGCCAUUUCUCGCUUGAAUACAUUAGCAUGGAAUAAUGGAAUAGGACUCUGUGUCUAUUUUGUUGGUUUGAAGGCAGAGAGUAAUGAUUAAUAGGGACAGUUGGGGGCAUUCGUAUUAUGUCAGAGUGAAUCUGAUUCUGAAGACGAACAACUGCGAAAGCAUUUGCCAAGGAUGUUUUCAUUAAUCAAGAACGAAAGUUAGGGGUUCGAAGACGAUCAGAUACCGUCGUAGUCCUAACCAUAAACAAUGCCGACUAGGGAUCAGCGUACGUUCGUAUUAUUGGACGUUCGUUGGCACCUUACGAGAAAUCAAGAGUUUUUGGGUUCUGGGGGUGAGUAUGGUCACAAGGCUGAAACUUAAAGGAAUUGACGGAAGGGUCACCACCAGGAGUGGAGCCUGCGCUUAAUUUGACUCACACGGAAACUCACCAGGUCCGACAUAGUUAGGAUUGACAGAUUGAGAGCUCUUUCUUGAUUCUAUGGGUGGUGGUGCAUGGCCGUUCUUAGUUGGUGGAGUGAUUUGUCUGGCCAACCUUGUUAACGAACGAGACCUUAAGGCUACACAGAGGUGGGUGGCUGUUGGUCGGAUAGGCGUGUUGACUUCUUAGAGGGACAGUUGGCUUGCUAAUCAAAGGAAGUUUGAGGCAAUAACAGGUCUGUGAUGCCUUAGAUGUUCUGGGCCGCACGCGCGCUACACUGAUCAGUCACGGUGUACUCGCGAUACGUGGUAUCUGUGUGGGGUAAUCUUGUGAAACUUGAUCGUGCUGGGGAUAGAUCCUUGCAAUUUUUGAUCUUGAACGAGGAAUUCCUAGUAAGCGCAAGUCAUUAGCUUGCGCUGAUUACGUCCCUGCCCUUUGUACACACCGCCCGUCGCUACUACCGAUUGAAUGUUUUAGUGAGGUCUUCGGAUCGACACUGCACGGCCAGCAAUGCUGUCGGGAGGUUGAAAGUUGAUCAACUUGAUCAUUUAGAGGAAGUAAAGUCGUAACAGUUCGUAGUGAACCUGCGAAGGAUCAGCUUGUGA
rnacentral:rRNA from 1 species